UACGUAGGGGGGCUAGCGUUGUCCGGAUUUAUUGGGCGUAAAGAGCGUGUAGGCGGCCAGGUAGGUCUGGUGUGAAAACUCGAGGCUUAACCUCGAGAUGUCAUCGGAAACCAUCUGGCUAGAGUCCGGAAGAGGAGAGUGGAAUUCCUGGUGUAGCGGUGAAACGCGCAGAUAUCAGGAAGAACACCAAUGGCGAAAGCAGCUCUCUGGGACGGUACUGACGCUGAGACGCGAAAGCGUGGGGAGCGAACAGG
rnacentral:rRNA from 1 species